CUCAAGCCCUCGCUUUCUCUCUCUCUCCCGCCCACUCGACGAUCACAAGCACGAUAAAAGCCGCGAUUCCCGAUACACACAUUCGCCUAUCGCUCACUCGCGCUCUCCUUUCGUGUCGCUCUGUCUCUUCCGCUCUUUUCUAAUUAUUUCUGCUUUCCUCUGUGUUCGCCCUCUUGGAACACAGAAGACAGAUCAACGCCCAGAACGCUGGUGCAUCCUUCUCUCUCGAUCUUUCUCCGUAUAGAUAGCCCACAGGAGAGAGUUUUGAGAAAAAAAAACGUGACAAAACACUACGCAAUCACAUACUAAAAACUGAAAAACGCAUUCAAGAGUUUGUUGAAGUUGUUUUCUGUCGUUAUUUCAUUUUCUGUCCCCCACUCUCCCUCCCUUUUUCCCUCACCCCCUUUCUCCCGCCCUCCGGGACCGUCUAUCCCAAUCCCCUUUCACGCACAACCCCCUUCACCGUGAAACGCUUGACGGCUUCUGUGUUUUCCUUUUCUUUUUACGUGUGUGUGCGCUUUACGUUUUUCUUUCUUCUUGUUCUCUGUCGCUACCUCAGGGUGCCUUUUUCAUUCGAACACACAGACCCGUAUACAUCACUCUGUCUUCUUGUCCUUCCCACCCGGCCCCUUUCCUGUCUUUCGCUCCUCCAGGCCGAUCACACCCGCGUAGGUUCCUCUAUAUACGCUGGUUUCUUCGCCUACCCUGCCGCACGGCUCCCUCCUCUGAUUUCUUUCGUUGUUUUCUACGCGCAUUCCCCCCUCCCCUGUCUUUUGCGUGCGGUGCUCUUUUCGUCUUUCUUAUCUUUCCGACUGUGGGGUCCACCCCCGGCUCGUCCCGUGCGCAGCGCCCCCUCCGCUGCUAGCGAUCUUGCACCCCGUACCACUCCCUGACACGCAACAAGCAGCAGCAUGAGCAAGCCCAGCGAGUCUAUUCCAGCACAGGCGGAGGGCGAGGUCCUGAGCGACUCGCUUAUAGACGGGAACCCCGGCAACGCCGUCGAUAAACACCCGAGCGGCGAGCAGGGCAACCAUCUCCACAAAAACGGAAGCCUGACGGCCUCAUCAAGCCACAAUGAAAACGGCGCCGACGCCCCAAGCCGGGGCGCAACAUCAUCUUCCGCUUCACCGGGUGGCUGAUACCCUAUGGCGGUGUCAUCUCGAACUGCUUCAGCCUUGGCUCCGUCACACUCGGCGGCGGUAUUAUCUCGAUGCCGUCCUCCUUCGCCAUGUCGGGCAUCAUCAUGUCUGUCAUCUACCUCGUGGUCAUUACGGCGGCGACGGUGUACACCAUGACGCUGCUUGGCUACGCGAUGAAGGCGACGGGCUGCAAAACGUUUGAGGAGCUGUCUCUCGUGCUCUUUGGUCGCGGCUGGGACUACUUCGUUGGGUUUGUCCUGUGGCUGUCGUGCUUCGGCACGGCGGUCGCCUACAUCAGCGCCGUCAGCAGCCUCAUCACACCGAUCCUCGAGAAGUCGCCCGGCACGCCCGCGUACCUGCUAACCACCUCCGGCAACCGCCUGAUCACGAGUCUGAUAUGGCUCGUGUUCAUGGUGCCAGUUGUGAUUCCGAAGCGCGUAAACAGCAUCCGCUACGUCUCCGCAAUCGGUGUCUUCAUGGUGCUGUAUUUUGCCGUCACUAUUGUGGUGCACUCGAGCAUGAAUGGGCUGAAGGAGGGCAUGCGCGGUGAUAUGAAGUACUUCACCAGCGGCAACGAAGCGGUUUACGGAUUGUCCAUCUUCAUUUUCUCGUUUCUGUGCCAGGCUGUGACGGGGUCAGUGUACUUCGAGCAGCGCCCUCGCCCGUCUGUACGCCAGCUGACGAUCGCGAGUGCGAUCUCGAUGACGGUGUGCAUGGUGCUGUACAUCUUUACCGGCGUCUUUGGCUACUUCGACUUCGCGGACGAUACGCAGGACUCCAUCCUGUACAACUUCGACCCUGUGCAUCAGCCGUACAUGAUGAUCGCGUACAUUGGCAUGCUGAUCAAGAUCUGCGCCGCCUUUGCGAUGAACAUGCUGCCGUGCCGAAACUUCGCCUACCACUGCCUGAACUGGGAUCUGGAGACGGUGCCGUACUGGAAGCACACCAUCGCGAUUCUCACCAUGGCUGUCGCCACCCUUGUGUGCGGUCUGUUCAUCCCGAGCAUCAACACGGCUUUCGGUUUGGUGGGCUCCCUGUGCGGCGGAUUCAUCGGCUUCAUCUUCCCUGCGUACUUUUGGAUGUACAGCGGCAACUGGAGCCUGUCAUCUGUGGGCAUCUGGCACUGGCUGGCGACGUACUUCCUCGUGGUGGCGGGUGUCAUUGCAGUUGUGUUUGGCACCAUUUCCACCAUCUACUACAGCUUCUUCGUGUGAGAGAAGGUCACCGGAAGGGGGCGCGCCGUGGAGCAUGCAUGCGGGGAAGCACGAAAGUUCUGCCGUCUGGAGUGCUGCAGCGUGGCGUGACAAUCUGCUCGUGUUCCUGACACGGAUAUUGAAUCGCGGGAGGAUGGUCGAGCUGAACAGCGCUUGAGGCAGCAUUGUGUCUCUUGUGCACGCAUGUCACUCUUUUCGCCACAGUACGGAGUGCAUGUGCGACUCUUUACGUGGAAGGGCACGUGCAGGCUGUCGGUCUUUUUCCUGUCUCUCGAAAUCGCUUCAUUGGGCGAGAAGCUGCCUUUCCCGCUGUCCAGAAAAGGAUAAGUUUAACACUGUCUUUCGUCUUACCUCGCCUGUGUUCGUUUUCUUUUCUUUGCUUCGGGGAACGAGCACCUGAACGCGGGGAGACGUCUGUUGUGGCUCAAUCGCAAACUCGCAUGCUCGUUUUCUCGUUUCCUUUUUUUUUCGUUUUGUCCCUUUUCCCUCCUCCCCGCGCUUUCUUUCCUACUUCUGUGUGGCUUUCUUCGUUCUCUUUUCAUGUGGGCACGGCAUGCUGUGUUGUCUUCCUGUGCGUUGUCGUGCUCACUUGUUUUUGUGUUUUCUCAUACGAUGGGUUUCCGUCUCGACUGUCUUGUUUCGCUGUACUUCCCUCAUCCCGCCCGGUGGGUUCUUGACCACUUUCCCUCCCCCACCCACCUGCUUUCUCAAAGACGGACGGACAAAAGCUUGUGGGAUGGGCAAGUAGAUUUGUGUCCGUUGGGCACGCCAUGUUGGUUUUGUCGCUGCCCUAACAGCACAGUCUACUCGUCAUUCUUUACGUUGCUGCGCACCUUCCUUCUUUUCACAUCGUAAAUCUGUCUGUACUCUCCUCGUCGAGGCGCAUAUGUUCCGUUUUCUUCUUCACUGUGACUUCUCUUCUCUCACCCUGCAAUGAAAACGAUGAACUGACUUCCGUGUGUGUGUGUGUGUGUGUGUGCCAAGGAGUGUUCGUGCACGUGUUAGCCAAAUCACGCCCAGUCUCUGAGUGAAGAUCUUUUUUUCUUUUUCACAACGCCACUGUCUUCCCUCCUCCAUGUUUUCCCUCGCCUUCCGUUUUUCUUUUAUCUGUUUUUCCUUUGUGUGUUUUCUUGUUUAGUGCACGCGCGCAGGUGUGCAUGCCUCCCCUCCACCUCCUCACGUCUUCUCUCGACGUCUGCCUCCCCCCACCCCUCAGUGCUGCUUUUGUGGUUGUCCUAUGUAAUGAUGACGAGCGUGAUCACGCAAGAGCAGUUCAUGAGACCCCAACAGAAGCGGUGGUCGACUCCCCGCAAGUGCAAAGAAAUAUAUAUGUAUAUAUGUAUAAGCAAAAUGUGAGGAGGAGGCAGGAAAAGAGAGAGAGCGACAGAAAGGGAAGGGGCGGCCGUACAGCCAGCUAGAACCACCACUCCUACGUGGUUCUCUUUGGGUGUCUGCCCCUGCCCAUACCCCCUCCUAUCCCUUUUGGGGAGGGGCCGUGGGCGUUGCGCCUCCCUAUCUGUUUUUUUUUCCGCCAUCUCGGUUCUCACGUUUGUAUCAACGUGUGCUAUUUUCUCCCCUGUCCCCCUCCCCGUUGUUGGUUUGUUAUUUCUGCAUCGUGGGCAACUGAGCCGCUCCAUGCGUCCUGCGCUUUCUCUCCUCCGCCCCUACCUUUCCUUCCCACCCUUUCCCAAGAGCCACACCGGCCGACGUGGAAGAAGCGUGGGAAAAGGAUGAGGAGCACAUGUACCGAUAUAAUGCCAGUUUUCCACUUAAAGAGAAUUAACAUCUUUUCGUUUUUUUUUUACCUGCAUACUUGAAUACGUGUGAUGAUACUCGGCACUCGAUAGAUAUCGCCGUGGUGCAAUGUCAGUCAUCAUGGUUUGUGUGGGUCUCAGCCUCCCGUACAUGCGACGGGCAUGCCCGCUACCGCUGCUCGCCCUCGUAGACCAUGGGACCUACGACGCCGUCCUUCCACUCUAGUGUCGAUGCUUUCUCUGCUCUUCUCCACGAGAUGGACACCAAGCUGUAAGGAUUCGCAGUAACGAGG
rnacentral:misc_RNA from 1 species